AGUAAUCGCGGAUCAGCACGCCGCGGUGAAUACGUUCCCGGGCCUUGUACACACCGCCCGUCACACCAUGGAAGUCUGCAAUGCCCGAAGCCGGUGGCCUAACCACUUAUGUGGAAGGAGCCGUCUAAGGCGGGGCAGAUGACUGGGGUGAAGUCGUAACAAGGUAUC
rnacentral:rRNA from 1 species